rnacentral:ncRNA from 1 species
AAAAAAUUAGCUUAAAAAAUUUUUUGCAUGUGACUUUUUUGAAGACUUAAAUUUCUAAAAGAUUUUAAAGUUAAUUUUCAGUAAUUAGAUUUAAUUUAAAUUAUUUUUAUAAUUUGAUAAAUUUUUUUAAAAUCAGUAAAAUGUUAUGCCAGCAUUCGCGGUUAUAUUUCAUGGUUAAGUUAAUUUUUUUUGGAUUACAGUUUAUUUAUUUAAAGUUUUUUAAUUUAGGUGAAAUUUAUUAAUAAAUAAAAUAUUUUUCUGUUUAAUCUAUUGUUUAGACCAGGAUUAGAUACCCUGUUAUUUUAGUUAAUUUAUAUAUCCAGUUAGUAAUUUAGAAUUGAAAUUUAAAAAAUUUGGCGGUUUAAAAAUCUGUUUAGAGGAACCUGUAAUUUAAAUGAUAAUCCACGAUUUAUUUUACCUUAAUUAAGUUUUGUAUAUCUCUGUCGUUGAGUGUAAUGAAAAUUUAUUUUCUUAAUAUUUUUUAUUAUUUAUGUUAGGUCAAGGUGCAAUUAUAUUUAGGUUAUUAUGGGUUACAUUAUUUAUAUUAUUUUUGAUUUUUGGAUUUAUAUUUAAAUUGAAUUUGGAUUUAAAAGUAAAUUUUCUUAUUAAGAUUUUUGAAUUAAGCUCUUAUAAAUGUACAUAUCGCCCGUCAUUCCCAUAAAUUGGGACAAGUCGUAACAAAGUAGAUGUACUGGAAAGUGUAUCUAGAAA